GGCUAAAACUUUUAACAUAUUUGUUUCCAGAUGCUUAAAGACUUUCCAGAUGGUUUUCUGUUAAUGAUUAAUAAUUUAAUUUCACUACAGUCAGCAAAUAUAUUUUGUAUGACUUAAAUGUUUCAAAGUGCAUUAAGACUUGCUUAUGGCCUGGAGUAAGGUCUAUCUAAAGGUUGUUCCUGAAUACCAACUCCAUCCUGGGAUUUGUUGGGAGGUACCAGUCCCUUGAGAGGAAAAGAGGAGAGCCCUUGCCUGCAGGGACCUGCAGUCCUGACCCUGGCCAUCCUGGAAAGCAGAUCCUGCUACGAGCCGGGAAGGUGCUGGGCCCAGGCACGGGCCACUCCCACACGCUCCCACACCCGGGUUGCCACCUCGCUCCCCAGGAUGGCUCCAGCUGGGUGGCAGAAGCUGGACCAGGAGGCAGGGAGCCCACGUGUGCGAGGCAGGGGUGGAUGCCCCUCCCCCAGUGUCCCUGGGAGAAGCCAGGAGGGAGGCGAAGACUUCCUGUCCACGUUCGAGAGACCCUGGGCUCUGCCUCCUGCCCCAGCGCAGUAGCCUCCUCUGAGCACCAGGUCCCAGGACGGAGGAGGAGGAGGAGGAGGGGGAAGGGGAG
rnacentral:lncRNA from 1 species